CAUAGGAGAGGUUAUCCAGCCCUCUGAUGAUCAUAGUAGCCCUCCUCUGGACCAACUCAAACUGCUCCACGUCUUUCUUGUGCUAGGGGCCCCAGGCCUAGACAAUAGAAAAUCAUCAGCAAAGAUGUAACUCUUAAGUAGGUGCUCUGGAAGUGAUUUUGCCUUGGGGCUACAUUGUCAUACAUAUUUCAUCAAGGGGUAGCAGGGAAGUAUGAAGUCAUUUUUGAGUGUGGAUGAAUCAUUUGGUUAUCUGGCCUAUACAAAUGGCUUCAAGAUUCCCAGCAGCAAAAUGGUAUGUUGUAUCAUGGAAAACAAGAUUCUGAAAAAAGGGUUUAGAAAUCAGGAAACAAAUUAAAGUAACUGCUUGAUAAAGAGAUCUGAUUAUGGGAAGUUUCUUUAAGGAUGGGUUUUGCAAAUGCCUUUGGAAUUGCAUGGGUUACAUCUGAAAGCAAUGUGAAAAGAACAAACUUCUUGAAAUCCUUUUCUGUGAUUCUUGGCUUCUGUAAACAGAAUAGAGAUCAGAAAACACGAAAUGAUUUUGCAGUUUGUAAGCUUAGAGUUUCUAUUAUGGUGAAAUUAAGCCUGUGUUUUGUACAGAAAAUGGAUUUGUGUGUGCAACAGAGUCCCAAACUAAACCUAUCUUACCUGCAGAUUCAGAUCACACAGCAAAAUGUUUUACGGAGUCAUAACAUCAAGUCCCAGAAACAAUAAGGAAGUCCUAUCUAUAGGAGACAAUCUCAGAGAAGUAUUUUAUACUGUUAAAGUACAGAAGCAAGUGUACACUGGAAAUGUCUUUAAUCUGGAAAAGUAUAUCAAGCCAGAUGUGGUCAAGUGAGAAGUAAAGGAUAAUAUUUGCUUAAGCUUUGAAGUUAAUUAAUCACAUAAUGAACUGCCUAGAGAUGUGGUGAUCUCCUUACUUCUUGAGGCCUUCAAAUCAAAUUAUGAGGCUGAUACUGACUUAUUGAGCAAUACAAAGACCUCUGGCAUACCUCUGAGCGAGAAGACUUGGCUAGUACACCCUUCUGGCCAUAAAUAUGGACCUCAUACAACUCUUUUUAGUAUAAGUUCCCAGCAUCGAUUCACUUGUGUUUCACAGGCAGAUCCCUCAGCCUCUGUGCAUUCCAAAGCUCUUUGGGUCAAGGAGAGGAGGGCAUGAAGAAAGCCAGAGCAUGAUGCUUAAUGGCAAAGGCAGUGCAAUGUGUAUGGCAUUGAUUUCUAGAUGUCAUCUCGUGAAGAAUUUGAUCUUUAAGUUGCACAAAGCGCUUGAAUGCUUUGAGGCAACCAGUAGAACUGGCAGAGAAAUGCUCUUUUUUUUUUUUUUUUUUUUUUUGGAUGUAGUCAAACUUUUGAAAUGCCAAAAAAUAGUUUGGAUUAAAGUGAGGGAAAUCUGAAUAUCUUUUCUCACUCCUGAAAACUCUAUCUGCUCUGGAUAUGUUUUGUGGAGAAAAUAAGAUAUUUCUCAUGAAAAUUCAUUCUAAGUCCAUAGUAGAAGAACUACGAGCAUAAUCUUUCAAAUAUCCUAAGAAAGUAGUGAUUUAUUUUAGAAAUAUAGCAAAAUAAGACAUUACUUUCUCUCCAUAUGUGUGUAUGCGUGUGUAAAGGAAGGCACGCAUAUAUAUAUUUUAUAUGCAAACUAUGUAUUCAUAUCCAAAACACAUGCUCUGUGAGACUGUGUAGACUUUCUCUGGCUUCCUGUAAGGUUCCCGAGGCUUUAGGAUGUGUUCAGCAGGUGGAAAAAAUAAGCCAGAAAAACUCAGCUCUAUCACUGCGCACUUGAGAGCAGCGCAGCCUCUUAGUAGCAAUGUUAAAUGCAGUACAGACAGCUACAUUGUAAUUGCUUCUGUUGAGAGAGAGAGCAUUAUUUCAUCUGGAAGCUUUUGGUUUAUGGCUACACUCACUUACAGUAAAUCAUUCGUUUGCCUUGGGAUGAGCUACAGCAAGCAGCAGGAGCCUUCAGAUAGCAGGGAGCUCAAGUAAGGUUGUGUUUGGCACCAUCCAAUGGCAUACAGUCCUGUGGGUCUUUAUUCAUUUCAGUUGUGAAUGCCAUGGCAAGAUAAAUUCAGCUUCAUUCAUUCCUGUGAUGGGAAUGGUAUUUCACCAUGCUGUUACCUACUCUCGUGGAGCCCCACGUGUGCUCAGAAAGGCAGCAGAUACUACAGCAAUUUUAAGAUUCACCUUCUGAAAACAUCAUUUUGAAGCAAAAUCACCCAUGCUCAAAAUGAAAAGCUCCACCAUGAAUGUGGAAAGAGCUGGAAACUAACAUUUCUUUUUUCAUGACCUGACCCCUUGCAUCUGUCCAUUUUGACUGACAAAUAAUGGGUUAAUUUGGAUGAAACCCAAAGAUCAGAACUAAUAAUUGUACUGGCAAGAACAUCCAUGGAAACUAGUUUAUUUAAGACAGUACUAAAAAACAUUUGCCAAGAGGGAAUUUUAAAUAUACUGUCCUCAAAUGCAUGCACUGGGAAAUCUGGAUGCCAUUCAACCACAUAAUGAACAGAUACGUAUUGUUUCCUUUAAGUGAACAGUCACAGCAAUGAAAUUUUGAUUGCACAGUAUUCUCAAAGUGGUUAUAAAGCGAUCUACUAAGCAGAAGCAAUUCACAGGAAUAAAUCUAAGAAAACAGCACACUGAUCCUAAGGAUGAGAAGAAAAAUUGAAAAAAAAAAUUGCCAUGAGAUAUGCAGAUGAAUGUUGCUUAAGUAAAAACAAUGAAUACACCGAAGUCAGAGCAAGCUGUUAGGCUACGCCUGACUCUCAAAACCUCACAGCCUCAAAGUGGGUCUGGGUCUGCUCUGUGAGGGGUCAGGUCCAACCUGAGGAUGUCCAUCGCUGGCGGCUGCUUCCUCAGCUGAGCACGGCUCCUCCCGCUCAGACACAGCUGUAGCACCAAGCACUGCCCCAGGGAAAGAUGGGCAGGGAGUGAACUUAGGCUACAAAGUGCAGAAAGUGUAAAAAUAUUUCUUGGUGUCUCAGAGACUUCUUGUUCUUUUAUUUUUAUCUUUGUUCCUGCUAGCUCUGACCCUAACUUGCCUUCUUGUCUGGACAGAAAGAAUUAUCAGAGAUUUUUCCUCCAGCUUUUCUCUACUGCAUAGAAGCAGUUCUGGGCUCAGAAAAAAAUCAUAGCUUCAUUUUCUUUAAAUUCUUCCCUGUCUUUUCCUAUAUUUGUAGAUUUUACCAUCCAAAAAAAAAAUGUGGUGUUCUCAGCAAGGAAUUCUACAGCACUUCACCCCAUUGAUCCAUGCCUGACAGCUCUUCUCCAAUCGUCAGCUUCUUUUCCCCCACCUUCUUAGGGACUCAGAGUGGGCAAAUGGCUGCUGCUCAUUUCACUGCAGCCACAGUCAUCAUACAGGCCCAGCGGGGGGAUACAGCAAAUCUGCUCUGAUUAACUAAGGUAAGCAGGGACUGUGCCAUGCUUGUACCCUACAAUGAGAAGAUGGGCAAGAUUAAGUUAUAUCCAAGAGAACAACCAACCAUUUUUCGGAGUGCUGGCCAAAAUCCUUAUGUGACCUGACAAGAACGGGGGAGCAUCAAAACCUCACUGCUGUUCUCUCUGUGUGUGAGGGACAUUGGUUCUGACCUGCCUUUUCCAAUACAAACAUAGUUUUUUUGUGCGUAUUAUAAAAACACACACACACAAAGAACUGCUUCGCUGCCCAUUCGUCCCAUGCUGGGAGGGAACAAUCUGAACAAACAAAUGGCAUAUGUUAGUCACAUUGCUUCAUACACUGCUGGAAUGUGUUCAGAUACUCUGGUGCCUUCUAUUAGGAUCACUGUAAAUUAAACUUAAAUGGUUUUUAAGGACCAUAUUGUGACAUGAAGCCAGACAAAUGUGAUAUCUAUUAGAAGAAGCAUCUACUAGCCGUCAUGAAGUAUACAUGCGCUGUGAAAACACUCAUCUGGCCAAACUGAAAAUGACUGAAUAAGGUAAUUUUGAUUUUUUUAUUUUUUUAUUUUUGUAGUGCUAUUCACAUUAUUUGAGUAACCAUAACUGCAAAGUGGCUUUUUUACAGAUACUGUGCAUCCUACUCUUGCACAAAUGGCAGAUGUAAUAUUUUUAAGUGGCGUCACUGAAGCUAGGCAGACAAAUGACAGUGGACAAAAUUGAGUGGAAAUGUCUCAGAUUGGUCAAAAUCUGCAAACAUCUUUGUGAGAAAAAAAGUCCACAAUUUCAAAUUUUUUUUUCCUUUUGAAGGCUUUGUGUACCUAUUUAUUUCACUUUUAAGGUUAAUUUUUCAUUGUUCUUGCUCUUAAUAUUUUCCCUGAAUAUUUUACACAAUAGUUAAAGGGCAUUCUUCAAGGAUAUCAGUAGCAUCAUCCAUCCUUUCAUUUCAAAACUCUCCAGCAUUGUGGCAUUGUGGCAUUUUGCAGAUCUGUCAAUCUUUUUAGGGGGGAUUAGGAACAGGACCAGAGUUUUUACAGCCGAUUUCCUCACAAGUCCCAGUGGUUUAACGACUGUAAUCCUUUCUCAAACCAGAAGGUGGCAAGCACUCGUAAAGUAUGAGCUGCACCAAGACAAGACCGUCUGCUUUCCGAUAAAUCUCAGCCACCAUUGUCAUCUGCUCAGCGUUCAGCCUUGGGUUUUCCAGCCAGAGAUCUCUGUUUAGCAGCGUCCAGUAAAUCACAGCAGGACAGGGCUAAAAGGGGAAACAUGGAAGGAAUUGAAGCAUUUCUUCCGUUAUCAUUUUAAAAAAAGAAAUCUCUGAGACAAAUGUAGAAAAUAAUUGUGCAGAAAAGAAAGCUGACCGGAAAAAUGAAAUUUCCGCUGGCAAAGGGAGGGCUCCAUGGGGAUGGGCUCACUGCCAGGACUGACAGAAACACGGGGCACCUGGAGUGAGCCCUGGACAGCCACUGCCCCAUGCAAAUGGCCAUUAGUCUGCAACACGUGGUGUAAUGAUUUGCGUGGAUUUUCCCAGAAGGAAACUAGACCCAAGCCUUAGUUAUUGUUUUUCAGCAGUGCCUAAGCUGUGCAAUUUUCUGCUAAUCUACCAGUCCUAGGAAAUGGAGUAAUUUGUGUGUGCAAAUAACAGUAGAAAGCUAAUGUGUUCUGGGUGUGUUAGUAGGAAUUUACUUCCUUUCUUUCCAAGAAUAUUUCAAUCUGUAACUUAUUCAGGGGAAGAGAUCCCCCAGGUCAUUCUACACAGGGGGAAACUGAAAGGUGAAUUAAUACAACCUCCAGAUAAAUGCCUUACAACAAAACAAUAUGCCCUCCCCUUUUGAAAUGUUUACACUGCUAAUUAAUUUUAGUACUUGGGCUAAAGACUUCACCUUAGUUGGAUUCUUUCUAUGACAGCCUAUGUUUUAUAAUACAGUGUUAAUCAAUAGGUGGAGAAGAAGGUUUUCAAGCAAAGGACUAAAUUUCUGAGCUUUUUUUUCAGAAGGCCUCAAAGCACCAGGAGGACAACGCAGCCUUCACUGCCCAUGAGAGCUGACAAGUGCUGAUGACUUGAAAGCAGUGACAGUACAGUCCUCCCUGACAUUAAUCUGGGGCUGGGAGUGAGAGCUGUUCCUGCCUCCCCGUGUCCUCCAUUAUCCACUGUGUGAGUGAGUGCAGUGCUGACAAUCCAUGCUCACCCACACCAGCCCACUCCAGGCAGCCAGCAGGAAGGUGAUCUUGGCCCCUUGCAUUUCUGCAUGCAAGUAUGAGAGAAACAGAAUGGAAGGACAUGUCGGGGAACAAGGAGGGCAAUGCCUCUGUCCUCAGGGCAUUGUCUUUCAGGGCUUCCUUCUGGGGAAGAAGCUUGUUGGGAGUUUUCUGCUUUGAGGAGAUAUUGCAGUAAAGGUGUUGAUUUAAUCACAGAAGGCUCUGAGGAAGGACAUUGAUUAUGUAUGCAUUCAAUUUAUAUUGAGAAUCCACAUAAAACUGACAUACCAUAGAAUCAUAGAAUGAUUUGGGUUCACAUCAUCUAGUUCCAACCCCCUGCUAUAGGCAGGGACACCUCCCUCUAGACCAGGUUGCUCAAAGCCCCAUCCAGGGAGGGGGCAUUCACAACCAUACUGGGCAACCUGUUCCAGUGUCUCACCACCACUAUCUCUAAGUGGUUUCAAUGUGUCCAUCCUGCACUUCUAAUCACCAAACCUGCAUCCAGGAUCACAACCUGCCCCAUCUUGCAGGCACACUUAGAAUCAUAGAAUCUUGAAAGUCUGAAAAGACCACUAAGACCAUCUAGUCUAACUGCCAACCCACCACCACCACGCCCACUAACCAUGUCCCUCAGUACUUCACAGGAAGCAUCCCACUGCAGAUGGCUUCAUAGUCCUUCAGCUCACAGCUUUACCACGGGACUGGCUUUGCUCUGGGACAGAAUAAUCACAGAAUAUUUCACCUCUUGUCCUCUGGUUACCUCUCCUCAGGCUGCCAGCCCGGCACUGUUUGCACUUGUGACUCUGAGCUCAGUGGUGAAAAGCCCUGUGUUUACUGAGCCUGUGGGCUAAGGGAGCUCAGAGUGCAAAAUUCUGCUGCUCUCUGCAAACUUCACACCAGCCGACUGAGCUGUAACCAAUCCACCCACAGCAGGAGGAACAGAGUAGGGGAACAGCUGAGAUAGCACCAAGAGAUACACUGCGGUCACAGAGGAAAGCUGUGAUGAGUACAGAGGAAGUGUGAAGCAAAUAGAUUUUAAUUAGAAUAUCAUUCAGCCCUUUGGAUACUUGCUGGGUGCAAAGCCAGAUUUAAUAAGGCAUUGCCUUGCCAGUCAUCAUGUACAUUAAAGAUGGGACAGAAUGAAGAACAAAAAUCCUAAGGGAAUUCUAAACAGAGAGACAUAAAUAGGAGUUUAAAGGGUGAGUUGUAUCAUUUGCCCUGCUUACAGGUACCUACUCAGGCAGCAAAAUGUUAUUGCCCACUCAAGCCAGCUUCUGCUUAAUUCUGCCAACUGGCAGAAUGAUUAUUAUCCCACUUUUAAUAGGCAUCACUGCAGACCAGGACUGCUAAGUGGGUGCCUUCUUCUGGAUUGGACUCAAAGUAAGCACAGACCAAAGUACAGAAGUAAUCAAAACAAGUUGUUAUUGAAUAGGAUUUGCAAGAGAGGAUUCUUGCAAGCAAAAGGCUGAGGCUUAAAAGUGAAAGCUGCAAUGGCUUUCUGACUUUUUAAGAGAAAAACAUGGCCUCAUCUUUUCUCCUGAUACACACUGGUACCCUUUCUGCUCCUCCACACCUGCAGAAAUGGAUGGAUCCUCAAAGUCUGCUCCUUUUUUGUUGGAAGAGCUGAGCUUAGGAUUCCUCAGGUGCCAGCCAGAGCAUAUCUUGCCUAGCAAAGGAGACCACCUUGUGCCUCUGAUGGAAGGUUCGGGGGCAGGUUUUGCCCUGGAGAACUUAUCUACAGCACAGAGACCUUCCUAUGUAGACAGACAAAUCAGAAGCCAUGCACCAAAUACUGGUUCAGGGGAUCUCAACAAGUUAUCUCCGAUGAAUAUGAAAUUCACCUAAAAAAUGGAUUUCCAGAAGAACUGACAAGUUGGCUGCCGUGUCACGUGGAGGUUUUUGCAGAUUCUUCCAGGUCAACUCAAACAAAAUCCUUCCCCUACCUCUCGUCUGUCCAUUACCAGACCACGAUUUAUUCAGCUCAAAGCCUAUGCUUAAAGGUGUAUCUGAAGCUUUUUCCAACUGCUAGUAUCACAGUGCUGACACUGUGCUGCAACUUUCCUGUGACUGUGCACUGUGACCCUCAUGCUUUCAAACAUCCUGCACCUCAGACUUCCAAAGAAUAAAGAAAUAGCUGUGGUUAGUUUGCUAGGUCAAAAGCAGUCCAGCUGAAAACAGACUCUUACGUUCCCCCUAGCUAUGCCUGCAACUGAAAACAGGGGAUUUUCUUUUCAAGUUUUAUCAGCUUUCCAACUCUUUCAAGGAAGAGAUUGAAAGGGUAAAGAAAGGAGAGAGGGAUAUAAAUCUUAUUGUGCAUACAGCUGUGGUGGGGAGCAAGUGCAGAGAAAAUUCGCACUGCAGUCAGUGUGCCCUCCUGCAGCCCAGGCUGAAGCAGCCCCUGUGACUGCUGUGCUGUUGGCGGGUAUUCAGUGGAUCGCAGCUGAAGAUGCUCAUGUGAACCCGUGGGAAUCCAUUCUGCCAAGUUCCUUGUAGCUCUGCUCGGUUCGGUCUCAUUUUUAUUUAAUGCUCUUCUCUCCCCUACUGUGGUUUGGUGCAGCUCGUCUCUGCAGCUUGCGUGGAGAUGCAGGGGUGAGAAGUAUAGCAGAUUUAAGAGAACAGAAAAUCUCUCCACCUCUCUGUCAUCUUGCUCAGAUGUGAGAUUCAGACAGGGAAGAAUGGAAGACUCACUCAAAGGCGGCCUGGAAGUCUGCUGAGAAAGGAUGUUCUGCAGCAGAGGAGGUGAUCCCCACUCAGUCCCAGCUCUUGCCCCCAGAGAAGGUACAGACUGAGAACUAUCAAGUUUCCAAAGUCCAGUGAAAUCCUGAAGUACAAGGCAGCAGUGUGUCUGUCAGAGAAUUUUUCAGAACAAAGAGGCCACAGGUAAUGGUUUACCCAGACUCUAAGAUGCUUCAGAGUUUGCAUUUUCCCUCAGCUGUCUGUCACUGUUUGGAAAUUGUGCAAUCAUUUAUUGCAAUACUCAUUCACCAUCCAUACAGCUGCUGAGGCAGAAUCAAUACUGCACCGAGUUCUCAUUAACUUCUGGGUGAGAAGUGCAUGCUCCUGGCUCUGCAACAAAAAUGGCUGUUGUUUCCCCCCCUCCGCAGAUGUCCCUAUUUGUCACCGCAUUUGCAAACAUGACCCUGGAAGUCAGACUCCAUUAUAGCAACAACCACCAGUCCAGAGGGUAAUUAACCAAAAAGUUUUUCAUUUUUUCUUCAGCACCAAACAAGCAAACAGCAACAAAAUGCAUCUUGGCAAGGUAAUUGAAAGAAACUCAUCACUUUUAAUGAAAGUUGGAGUAACUGUAUUCUAAGCAAGUUAAUUAUAUCACUGUAUUAUUGCCGCCUGACAGAUGAAUUUAAUUUGCAGUCAGUGGGGAGGUAACCCAAACUAGAAGCUCAUUGCAAAGAUUUCAUUGAUUUUUAAUGGGCUUUGGAUUGGAUCUUUGAGUAGGUUUGCCUUUAUGUUUCUAUAAUACUGAUCCGUGUAAAAAUAGACAGUAUAAUUCUACACUUAGGGCAAUUUUUUCACACAGAACUUCUUAAUGAUCAGCAGUGAUCACAUUAAUAAUGUAAAGUGAACUAGAUUCCCUUCUGACAAAAUAUUCCAAGUAAAAAAAUAUUCUAAAAUAUGACAAACUAUUCCAAACAUCCAACGUAUAGUUACUAGCAUUAUGUCUGCCUGAGUGUAGUAAUCACUUGUUGAAACGGGUGUUCCUAUAAAAAGGAUGUUGUUUUCUUGCUUGAAACAUUGCUACUUUGAUAUUCUCAUUUUCAGAAUGUCAUUUUUUUCAUUAUUUUUUGCACAUAAAAGUCUUUAUAAAAGCUGUAUCACACAGUAACUGAGAGUAGCAUCUUCACUUUUAAGUGCUACUUUUCACUUUUGAGGUAACACUCUCUCCUUUGGCGUUACAAAUGAAGACACUACCUUCAAAAGAAAGUAAAUUGUCAUUCAUUUCCUGUCUAUUUUUAAGCUUUAUUAAGGAAUUGUUCUACAAUUAAAUAAAGUAGGAAAAGUUUCACUUUAUUUCCGUAAGGCAAAAAUACUACUUUAUACGAGGAAAACUUGAAAGGGGACCUUUUCCUACGAAAAUCUCUUUGGGAAAAUGCUCCUCCUCUGCAGGGUAUUUGAUGCAGCUCUUUUCUUCUUCUUUGUAAGACAUUGAACCAAAACUCUUCCCAAUUGAAUGAUGGAUGCAAUGCGUUCACUGGCUUCGCUUCAUGAUCCACAUGAUAGCUGCAGUCUAUGUGCUGUCUUGAGACAGUUAGAUCAGUUAGAUCCACCUGUGCCCUUCUGGACAGAUUUUCAGUUCUGCAGCUGCUCAGUAAGACCUAAGCUGCUUUCCAAUUAAAUCAGUGCUGUUUAAUCUACAGUGUUUAUACAAUCCUUGCUUUGAGUCACAGAUGAAAUUUGUACAUCUAGAGACAAUCCCAUCUCUUAUAAAAAUAUGCAAAGUAAGAAUGAACACCAGGGACAGAAUUAUCCAUAUACAGAGACGGGAUUUACAGAAGAGAGCUUCCUUGUGAUGCUCAAACCAGCAAAAAUGCAUUUGAAAGUUUACUGUGGCUUUCUGCAAUAUCCAGACACGAGCCCAUUCCUGCUCUGCUCCUACUUUUCCAUGGCAAGUGUAGAAAGUAGAAAGUUUCUUGCUGUUGUUCAUGUACUUGCUGGGAGAGUGAAAAAAAAGUGAACUUCUGCAGCCUCUGCACUAACAGAAAAUAGCUUGCAGGGCUAAACACCUGGCCUAAACUCCCCAGAAUUAUAAAUUCCAGCCUCAAAAGCAUCUGACUGAUCCUUCACAUGUUUACAGAAAGCAAUGUCAAAUAUCACACGGAUUAAAUGUUCACUCACUGAGAUGUGCGCAGGCUCAGCAAGAUUUGAAGUUCUCUUUUCUGCUGCUAUAAAAAGCGCUACAGCCCCUCACCAUUGCCCACAAUGAGGGUUUGUCUUGUUGUUUCUAAAUUACCUUUUCAUCCCACCUGCAUUGGUUCAGAGGGGCACUGAGCAAGACUCACUCCCAGCCCCAGAAGUGGCUGCAUUGCAGUCACUGGUAUUGAAGCAUUGAGCACACAGCUGCAAGGCAUUGCCUCUCACUAGAAUUUCUAGUCCUUUUACACUUCAAUUUCAUGUUUCUGUUUUAUACUGAAGAGAUUCAGAAUUGAAUCCUCUUAUCAGCCCAAGGCUUUGGCUCAGAGACUGAGGAGUGUCUGCUCCCUGAUGCUAGAUCUGCUGUAAGGGAAGGCUCAAGAGAAUAAAUAUUUCAGGAAGGUGAGAAACUCCAAGGCAAACUUGUCUGUAAAGUAGCAGCCAGCAAAAGGUGAAACGUUAGGAGACAAGAGUAGCUCCAACUCAGCGAAAGAAAAUCCCAGUUGUUACCAGGAAGGCUCAUUCAGGCUCUGUGACAGGAGGAGCUGGUAAGCCCUCAGCUCACAGGCAUGUUCCUUAGCCUAUGGGCUCUGGAGUACUGGGCGGGCAAGUCAUUGGUGUCUUAGUGAUCACUGAAUUCACCCUGACCUGGGUAAUUUCACAGGAUUUCAACAUAUUUAUGGAGAUGCAGUGUAGUGUACACACAAAGAAGAAGGAUGUAGGUUUGAUGAGUGGUCUGGAAAAGAGAUGAAUCAGGGGAGGGAGGUGUUGUACAAUGGAAGUCUACUAAAUCUUGUGUGGUGUGGGAAUGUCUUAUUUCUGGCAAAAAAAAAAACCAACUAAGAGACAUUUAUAAUUUCUUCACAGAGGUAGGUUUAAAACAAAGAAAAGUACAUACUUCACACAAUGCGGAGUUAUGAUCUCCUUGCUGCAGAAUAUGUGCUUAGUGGGCUGAUGUUUACGGCUUCAGAAAAGAACUGGACAAAUGCAUCAUAGAAACAUCCCUUGAGAGCUAUGGUCAUCACCAACUCCACAAAUAUACAAACCCAAAGCAACUGAUGGUUGAGAAAGUAGCCUUCCCUAGAUUAAGAAAAUAUUAUGAUACAUUUUCUUUGUUAUACUCUUCCAUAGAAAAAACAUCCUUUGUGGGGGGAAUGUUGGCCUGUUACAUCCCAAGUUGACCCCACAUUGCAAAUUUGAAAUUCAAAGAUAAAUUUACUUCUAUAAAACAAGUUGUAAAACUAGGUCCUCAGAAAAUGUGGCCUUAAUUGAUAGUCAUGAGAUUAGUUUGCUCAAAUCCAAUAGAUCCGUUUUCAGUGAUGGUCAUUAUUUUCAAAUAACAAAUGUUUUGUGAUAGCCAUUUAAUGCCUUUUCUUUUACUGCGUGGAUAUUUGCUUAAUGUACCAAAUUGCAACAAAUUUAAGCUGCCAAAAAGUGAAUUUAUAAGGCUGCUUAAUGUAUUCAGUGUAUUAACAUUUGCCAGGGAAAUAGCACACUGUAGGCAAAGAAAACAAGACAGCAUAUUUUCUUUAUAAUGGAAAUGUGCUUUAUCAUUUGCAAGGAAAUUCAGUACAGAAAGGAGUCAAAGUCUAACUUAAGGUUCAGUCUUGCUCAGGUGAUCUCAGACAGGCAGAUAACUUGCCCUGAGACAAGAGUUAGCCUACUAACCUGACACUCAAUUCAAGAACUGAUUCCAAGCCCAGUCCUUUAUCAGCUUCCUUUGUCAUAAGAUUCAUCCUUUGCAGAAGAUAUUUGCAAUUUCUGCUUGCAGGAAUAAUGAAAAAUAUGAAAAAUUGUCCCAGUCCAGGAGAGCACUCCCAGAUUCACUGGGAGUCAGGGACAUGUUACCGUAUUAUAAUACCUAAAAGGAAUUGAAUGCAAUGCUUAGAAGUCAUCUAUGCUCUUAAGAGGUUGUACAGAGUACCUGCAGAGAUAAUAAGCACAAUGUCUUACACAGAAAUUAUGAAGCCAACCCCCUAACUAUUUUCAUGCAAAUUAAAAACUGCUUGUUUAGAUCACACGAAAGUCUCCAGAUAAAAAUGUUCCACAGUAUCUGUGGCUCAGCAAAUUUCCAGCUUGGAUCCACAUCAGAGUUCAGCCACAAUGAUUGUUUUUUUUUCAUUUUGCCUGAGAACGAUCCUGGUUCAUGUUGAAAUCUUAAGAAUAUUUUGAGUAUAGGAGUCUUGAGUAUUGAGUAUAGAGUAUAAGGUGGGAAAUCACUAGUUGACCUGCUGCCCAAGGAACUGUAAUGUGGAAUCAGUGCCUGCACCAGAGACUUGCUUGCCUCAGUAGGGAUAGCUACAUCCCGUGGUAGAAUGGGUGCACAGUUUGUGGAUAACCAACAAGAAGCAGGUUCCCAAAGGGGGAUGCAGACAAACCACUCCACAAGUAGGAUUUUCAGUUGCAAAUCAGUGUUUGUCUCUCAAGAACUUCACUUUUAUCUGUCACCAUCAGCUCUUCACCAUCAGCACUUCACUGUGGUGAUGAUGACAGCCAGUGCAGCACAGAGCUGAUCAGGAAGGAAAUUCUAUUCCUAGUAAAUGAUAGCAAAAUCUCUGCUAAUAUAAAUUUCAAAGAGUUGGUGUUACACACACUUCACUCACACUCACUGUGGUGCAAAUAAUUGCUACACGCUGAUAUGAGCUGAGUCACUUCAUAUUACAUUACCUAAGGUAGCAUCGGGGUGGGAAAAGCAGCCUAACUCCAUGAUCCCUAAGAAUACAUAAUCCACUUAUGUACUGUGAAGGCUUAACCUCUAAGAUUCAGCCCUUUCUUGUGUUUUGAAAAUUAAUCAUUUUCUUAGAUUGUAAAUACACUGCUGCAGAAGCUUUAUCUGAUGUCUGCUGUUCACAUCUAUACGGAUAUUUGGAUGCCUGAUGUCCAGCCUCAUGAGAUUAAAUACCUGUGUGGCCCGCUUCUAAUGUAAUGUAAUAAAGAGCUUUAUAUUUAUUUUUAGCCCUGCUAGUGCUCUCAAAACUUUACAGGGCGGCUUUAGCCCAAGAGAAAAUGAGCUGCUUGUUUUCAAAGCCCUUUUCCUUUUGCUGUGUACUCUUGGGAAAUCUUCUGUCACUGAAAAUUAUCCACCCCUAUGGACAAACUCUCCAUAGGCAUUCACUCUCACUGACCUUUCCUGGCAUGUGGGAGUCAUUCCAGCCGUGCUUUAUGAGCAGCAGUUCUUCAUCCUUGAUUUGAAUUGUCCAGGGGGAUUUCUGCUUUUGUAACCCUCUUCCUGCUCUUUUUUUUCUUUUGGCAAGGAGGAGAUUCAAGAAGGAAACAACAACCCUAGAGCAAGGAGGUGGGGAGUUAGCCAAACCUCUGGAAGAUAUCAUGCACAGAGGAGGACACACCAACACUCCAUGUUCAGGAAAACUGAGAUACUUCUGUUAGUAGUCUUGGGUCUGAUUUGCAUUACCAUAAACCAGUACUUAAACAUAUGUUUAACUUUAAGGACAUGGGGUGAUUGUGGUCUGAAAGCAGCAAGAUCGGUUUAUCUGCUUAUCUGCUCUGUUCUCUCUCAGGACAACCAUCCCCACUUUCCAGAAUCAAAACCUAAGAACACGGCUGGGAAAAUGAGCCUGGGACAAAAAAAAGAGACCAACAGGCUGGAAAGGGAUAAAAUAAAAUAAAAUAUGUCACCGCCUAUUGUAAAAAAUCAUUUCUAGCUAGGAAAAACUGACUUGCAGGACUAAUUUGAGAAUAUAUUUGUCAUAAGCCAGCUAAGAUGAGCCAAGAUUUUUAAAUCAGUCCAUCCCUGCUUCCUUUGGCUGUUAGCAAGGAAAAAGAAACUUGGUGUGCAGCAGGAAGACUGAUGCUGAGCUAAUCGAAUGUGCGUGCAGAGGGAGCAGCAGAUGACAAGGACAGGAUUGGCAGGAUGUCGCCAGAUUGUUUGAUUAGCAAUGGGAUGGCUCAAGUGCUCCCUGUCCUACCAGGGACUUGGCACAGAUGCUGACACGUGACUCAGUCCUCAAGCAGUUCUUCUCUGCAGCACUGUUUGAGAAAGGGCCCUGCUUCUCCAAAAACAGGAAGGGUAUUAACAAAAACAAAAACAAGGAUGAGAAAGAAAGGCUAUGAGCCUGCGUCUAUAAAUGUUAGAUUCUGGCUAUUCUUUCUGUUAAUACCAUCGAAACUUCAGAUGAAAUGAGAUGUUUGACUUGGGAUAAAAAUCAGAUAGUCUGAAAUUAAACCCAGCAAAAGUAAUAUGAGGGAGCAUUGAUGAGUGGGUAUUUUCUUUCCUCUACAGUUGAUAUCCAUGUUAUUACUUUCUUUCUGUGUGUCAGUUUAGACCAGACAGCCACAAAAAAUUAUUAUUUUUUUCCUGGGAGACAAAUAUGGUGGGAAAGGCAGUGACACUAUCUUCUAACACCAAAGUUGCGAAUCUAUUCCAGUGGAGCUAAGUAAAAAAUGAAGCAAACUGAUUUCAGCAAUAUAUAUAUAGGCAUAUGGAGGAAGCCCCAAACAUAAAAACUAGCUAUCAGCACAAAGCAUGGGUAGCAAUUGCCUUUGAUUACUAACAGCAGGUUUUUCAGUCUACGGACAAAACAUGCAUGGAUUAUGAGCAAUUUUCUGAGCCAUCUAAAUCAGCAUAUUCAGACAGAAUCAAAUUUUUGAUGCUGUGGCAUCACAACCACAAUCCAAAUUACAUUGCGCAGAUGUACAUGUAAAUAUCUUACUUGCACUAAAGGCAGGUCAGAAAAAUUAGGGAAUCUGACACCGCCCCUGAGAUUUUUUAAGGUAGUUCAAAUUAUAAAAUAAGUAAGUCCCGCAGAAAUAAGAUGGGCAUUGGUGACAGUUUGUACAUUCAGCACAACAAAUAAUCAGCUGCUAUGUAUUUGGAUAACCCUGUUAAAGCCAACAGAACAGAAACAGUUUUUAUUGUGUUAUAGCUAGUCCAGAGAAAUACAUGAGACUUGUACAUAAUGAUAGUACAGAUAUAUGGAGAAACUGUAAUGCAGACAGCAGGUUUAUAGUGGGCUUUCAUAUGCCUAUAUACUUCUAAACUGUAUGUGUAACUACAUUCUUGUCAGUUCUUCAGCAUUUUCAUAUGGAUAUGUUACUUCUCUCUAACGUGUCAGUUUUCUGACUAACCUGUCAUAACAAUCUAUGACAGCAUUCUCUAACAGCUUACCACUGCUUUACAUGAAAUGUGAGGAUUUUUCUGCAGUCCCACAUUGGAAUCACAUUCCUAAAUAAGAGUGUGGGGGAAGUGUCUUGAAGUAUAGAUGUAAGCGCAUACGUAUGUGUACGUAGACAGACACACAGAUCCAAAAUAUCUGCCUGUGAAUCAUUAGAAUUACAAUCACACAGAAUGAAGCAGCACAAGGUUGGAUAUUUCUCCUAAGCUGCACGUUGUUUCUCAGCUUUGUGGAACACUCCUUUUGUGCCGUGACCACAAAUGAUGUACCAUCAGUGGAGUGAUACCAUGUUGCUGAGAAAUGAACUGCUUGUUUGAAUGGACUUCGCAUUCGUUUUAGAAAAGGAGUAACACUAGGUUUCAGAUAGAUUCAUUUAUUUACUUUGUGCUGUUUCCAUGACUCAUAUUCCUUUUAAUAAAUCAAGCUAAAGAACAUAACAUCAGAUCAUAGAAUCAUAGAAUUGCUUGAGUUGGAAGGAAUGCUUAAAGGUCAAGGAGGUGCAAGGAGGUACAGGUUCUUGAUUUGAGUCCCUCUGGAACGCUUGAAAACAUAAGAAUUGUUCAAAACAUUGUCUUUCCAAAUUAAUAGGUGCUAUUGUUCUGCAUUGUGCACACCAACAUGACAUGAUUCCUGGAACUUCCUGCUGAUAGAACAUGUUUCCGAAGAUGAGAAGAGAUCCCAAACUUUACAUUAGCGUAGUUUAAAUUCACAAGUCCAUGGCCUCAGCUUGCAGGUACCUACAGAUAAUGAUGCCCCAUUCUCAGCUGCAGUUAUUUGCAUUAUAUGAGUGUGGCUGAUGGGUCAGAAUGGGAAAACUCAUGGGGAAAAAUGACAAAUUACAAUCUAAAAGUCAAUGUUGGAGGUUUUAUCUGUCCUUCUGACAACACACAGCUGUUAACUCUACUAAUCAUGGCUUUCUCUAAGGGUUGGCAGGGAAUUCAGCAUGACCAAAUCUCUGAGGUGCAGCAACCUUCUGGAGCUUAUAAUGAACGUUUGGAUGCUUAUGGAAAUCAAAGCUACAUGCUCCUGCCCACAGAAGAGACGGGCAGUAUUGCCACUGCCCUGUAGCCCCAGAAAUAGAAAGGAAAUCUUUGAGGGACCUAAGAGAGAGUACUACAGAGAACAAACAAUCCAUGUUUCCUGUAAACUUCUUCAUUUUUCCUACUUCCAAAUGAAAACAGUCCAUGCUGUUCUGGUGUAGGGGAAAAAUCUUUCCUGACACAUAGCUUAACCUCAAAUGCUUGAAAGAGAAAGCAAACAGGUCUCAGAAAGGCUUAUCUGCAUCACAGAGAGCACCAGUACCUCCUACUCCUCUCUUUUCAGUUGAAAGUUAGCUUGGAUGUUUCAGAAAAAAGAUGAAGAGAAAAAGAAAAACAGCUAAGCAGGAGAGUGUGAAACACAUUUCUGGCCUUUACAUUCGUUUUAUGCUACCAUCUCAAAAUCCUUCCCUUGUUUCUGGGCAUCCUGUGUGACCCUUGUAAUCACAAUGAAUGUCUCUCAGGCAACAUUAAUCCCUGCCCAGAUCCAUCUCUAACAGUGAUUGCAUUAAAGACUUCAUUGUGUCUGCAGCUGUUUAAUCAUUCAUCACCUGGAAAAUGCUACUGCUCUCCUGCUCUAUGAUUGUGGCCAUUAGUGGUGACAAGCAAGGUCUUCCUGAAAUUAAGAAUGUGACAAUGUGAACUGGCUUAUAUUCUGCCUUUUCAGACACAUCCAAUAAUGAAAACUCCUUCACAUCGGGACUGUCCAAAGCCCAUUGACGUCAGUGGAGAGACCUGAUCUCAGUGGGCUUUCAAUCAGACUCUAUAGCUAAGGCUUCCAAAGCAGCUUGGGGGAUUCAGACACAUAUCUUUCAUUAAAGUGAGGGUAUAUUAAAGUAAAUGGAAGAUAUGUGUCUGAAAUCCCCUAGACUGCUUUGAAAAUCUAAAAUACUGUGCAAGCUGUACAGCUUUCUCCAUAAAAAUAGCUGCCAAAUCUUGCUUUGGUAAAGGCAAUAGAACUGCAUUAAAAGAUCCACAGGAAGGCCUGGUCCUUCUCAACCUUUAGGAAAACAGAGAGAAGAAUAGCCAGAGUGCUUUGGUUUUGGCUUUAUACCCUUCCCACCUCAAAGACAUUUGAUGGAGCAAUUUGUGGGAAUGGCAUGCCUCAUAGUAGCUGAAAGAAAAGAAAUGCCACUGUCUGACUACAUAGAUGUCACACUUAUAGGGCUCAUCAAUCUGGGAGCAGGACUGCAACAUCCCUCAUGCACAUUAAGGCAUAAACCUAUGGUAAGGCUAGCCUAGUUGCACAUUUGUGUUGACAAGGCUGAGCCCAAGACAGCAUCACCAUCAUUCCAACAGCCCCUUUCAGGACAGGUCUCGAUACAUAUCCUUCUCCUCCCAUCCAGCUUUCAUGGGGACAGAGCAUUCUACAGCUCAGCCCCACGUAAGAACUCCAUCUAUUUUCUGACCAGUGGUGAGACAAGCCUUCUUUCCUAUGGCCCACAAUGACAAUCUACUUAUUACUCAGACACAGCCUCAUCUAAUUACCUUAUUAUUUUGUGGCAGGCUAGAACAAGGUAGCACCAUUAAGUCAAGUGUCUUCAUUUUAGCCAUCCACUGCCUUCGCACUCGAUUUAGAAGGCAGUGGGUGAAGAGUAUUCUCAGUCACACACAUCCCAUACAGCUCAGGUUGCUAUGCCAUUAGCUUACCUCAGUUAUGUGACUACUUAUAGACUUUUCUCUUCAUUUCUUGCAUUUUAGGACUACUAAGAAUGAGUUACAUUCUGCUUGAGUGACAAAGAGUAAUUGUACUUUACUUGUUAUUUCUUGAUGGUAGAGGUACUUCAUACCUCAGAUUGAUUCCAGAUAUCAGGUAUCUGAAAGUUUGAUGCAGCCAGCUCAGGGUUUCCAAUUCUGACCUGUCUCCUGUAAACACAAUCAAAACCUUAUUAUAAGACUCAGAACUCAGGCAAAUGAUAAGCCAAGUCCAGGGAUCUGCCGAUAGUUCAUAUUUUUAGUGCAGGAAGAAUGGACUCAAAGGGAAAAUUGGUGUACAAGAAGAUGUGAUAAAGCUGAGGUCCAGAUAGCAUUUGCUCUGCUGAGAUGUUACAACCUGAGCAAGACAAUCUGUGAAAGAGGUAAUUGAGCAUUUGAAAAGCACCUGUUAAUGAUGAGUAAGAUAACAACCUCUAUGAGCCACCUGUUAGGGCAGGUGAUGAACUCUGCUUCUGGUCUGUUUCUCACUUGAGUUUUCUCCAGGGAAACUGGAAGCACACUCACAUCUCCUUCUAGAGAAAGUUCAUGAUAACAGAGGAUUUAAAUAAACGGAAGAUUGAUUUUCAUGGAAGGUGAAUUAUUUGUAUUUCUUCUUUCUUUUAUCACACAGCUGAAAUGUUUUAUCUAGCUUAGAUUAUGAGGAAUGUAAACAAAUGUAUGUUAAAUGUUAAAUAAACAUUUUAUUUCUUUUUUUCAA